GAUGAACGCUGGCGGCGUGCCUAAUACAUGCAAGUCGAGCGAACAGACGAGGAGCUUGCUCCUCUGACGUUAGCGGCGGACGGGUGAGUAACACGUGGAUAACCUACCUAUAAGACUGGGAUAACUUCGGGAAACCGGAGCUAAUACCGGAUAACAUAUUGAACCGCAUGGUUCAAUAGUGAAAGACGGUUUUGCUGUCACUUAUAGAUGGAUCCGCGCCGCAUUAGCUAGUUGGUAAGGUAACGGCUUACCAAGGCAACGAUGCGUAGCCGACCUGAGAGGGUGAUCGGCCACACUGGAACUGAGACACGGUCCAGACUCCUACGGGAGGCAGCAGUAGGGAAUCUUCCGCAAUGGGCGAAAGCCUGACGGAGCAACGCCGCGUGAGUGAUGAAGGUCUUCGGAUCGUAAAACUCUGUUAUUAGGGAAGAACAAAUGUGUAAGUAACUAUGCACGUCUUGACGGUACCUAAUCAGAAAGCCACGGCUAACUACGUG
rnacentral:rRNA from 1 species